rnacentral:lncRNA from 1 species
AAGGAUGUUGAAGCUGAUGGGACUUAACUAUGUAAUACAGUACAAGAAAGGAAGAGAAAAUAGAGUGGCGAAUGCCUUAUCACGCAGAGGUGUUACGAUAUAUUUUAUCUAUAUUAGGAUUUUACGAUAUAUUAGGAUAUUGUGUUUUAUUGCCUUAUAUAGAGUAGUAUCAUUGCCUUCUAUAGAGUAGGAUUAUAUAACAUGUAAUCCUAGUUAUACUCUUACUAUAGUAGUCAUUGUUACUAUAGUAAGACAAUCUCUUGUACUAUAUAUAUUCCUUAAUACAACUCAAGAGGGUAUGCACUUUAGCCAUUCUUUCA